rnacentral:rRNA from 1 species
UGCGGAGGAUGCGAGCGUUAUCCGGAUUUAUUGGGUUUAAAGGGUGCGUAGGCGGGCUUUUAAGUCAGCGGUAAAAAUUCGGGGCUCAACCCCGUCCGGCCGUUGAAACUGGGGGUCUUGAGUGGGCGAGAAGAAGGCGGAAUGCGUGGUGUAGCGGUGAAAUGCAUAGAUAUCACGCAGAACCCCGAUUGCGAAGGCAGCCUUCCGGCGCCCUACUGACGCUGAGGCACGAAAGUGCGGGGAUCGAACAGG